UACCAGCUCUCCGAGUGGUGUGGAUGUUUAUUGGGCCUAAAGCAUCCGUAGCUGGCUGGGCAAGUCCCCUGUUAAAUCCACCGAUUUAAUCGUUGGAGUGCGGGGGAUACUGUUCGGCUAGGGGACGGGAGAGGCAGACGGUAUUUUCGGGGUAGGGGUGAAAUCCUAUAAUCCCGGGAAGACCACCAGUGGCGAAGGCUGUCUGCUAGAACGCGCCCGACGGUGAGGGAUGAAAGCUGGGGGAGCGAACCGGAUUAGAUACCCGGGUAGUCCCAGCUGUAAACGAUGCAGGCUAGGUGUUUGGGCGGCCACGUGCCGCUCUAGUGCCGCAGGGAAGCCGUUAAGCCUGCCGCCUGGGGAGUACGGCCGCAAGGCUGAAACUUAAAGGAAUUGGCGGGGGAGCACCACAAGGCGUGAAGCUUGCGGUUC
rnacentral:rRNA from 1 species